AACGAACGCUGGCGGCAGGCUUAACACAUGCAAGUCGAGCGCCCCGCAAGGGGAGCGGCAGACGGGUGAGUAACGCGUGGGAAUCUACCCAUCUCUACGGAAUAACGCAUGGAAACGUGUGCUAAUACCGUAUACGUCCUUAGGGAGAAAGAUUUAUCGGAGAUGGAUGAGCCCGCGUUGGAUUAGCUAGUUGGUGGGGUAAAGGCCUACCAAGGCGACGAUCCAUAGCUGGUCUGAGAGGAUGAUCAGCCACACUGGGACUGAGACACGGCCCAGACUCCUACGGGAGGCAGCAGUGGGGAAUAUUGGACAAGGGGCGCAAGCCUGAUCCAGCCAUGCCGCGUGAGUGAUGAAGGCCCUAGGGUUGUAAAGCUCUUUCACCGGUGAAGAUAAUGACGGUAACCGGAGAAGAAGCCCCGGCUAACUUCGUGCCAGCCGCCGCAGUAAGAC
rnacentral:rRNA from 1 species